rnacentral:sRNA from 1 species
UAAAAGUCCCGAACAGCAGCCAUGAGCCAGACCGUGUUUACACGGGAUGGUUCAUGGAUAUUGGACGGGCUGACCUGGAUGAACAAGUAGAGCGAUCGCUCGAAUUGUGAAUACAGGUACGAUGUCGAGAGUGCACAGCACGGAGACAUCGACUUUUU